rnacentral:misc_RNA from 1 species
GAAAUGCGAUAAGUAGUGUGAAUUGCAGAAUUCAGUGAAUCAUCGAAUCUUUGAACGCACAUUGCGCCCCUCGGUAUUCCGUGGGGCAUGCCUGUUCGAGCGUCAUCUACACCCUCAAGCUCUGCUUGGUGUUGGGCGUCUGUCCCGCCUCCUUCGCGCGCGGACUCGCCCCAAAUCCAUUGGCGGCGGCCCUUGCCUCCCUCUCGUGCAGCACAUUGCGCUUCUCGAGGCGCGGCGGACCGCGUCCAGCAAGCAACCGUCACACCGUCUUUGACCUCGGAUCAGGUAGGGAUACCCGCUGAACUUAAGC